rnacentral:lncRNA from 1 species
UUUUUUUUUUUUUGCAGCCCGUUUUACUAUGGCCAUCGAUAACAAGAGUGUUUGAACUUCUUGAAGAAACAAGGAAAAACCCUUUAAUACCGCCUCCUAAAUUUUGGUUGGAGAUUAUUUAAUUAUUUGUUGCUUGCUCACUAUAAUCUCUUUAACCCUGGUGGAAUUCAGCUUGAAGUAUGUGGAAUAUGAUCUCCAUAUUUUUUGGCACCGUUAUUGCGUACGAGAUUUAUUUCUUCAUGGUGACCAUGAUUCUUUUUGCUCACUUGCAGCCUGCCUCUUGUCGAGUAUUGUGUUCUAUGGUCCCUGCAUAUAUUUAAUUUUGUGUCGGCGGGUAUGGUACAUUCGAAAUCAAUAUCACCAUUCUAAUGUUGUCCCAUAUUUAAGCUUUGCUACAGAUUGGUGUAAGAUUUUUCUCGCAGCUUCUAAGCUGCCAUUGCUAAAUUUUAAUUCGUAUAUAAUGGUUCCUAGAUGGAUUGAACCAUCAGUUGGGUGGUGCAAAUUGAAUGUUGAUAUUGGAAGGGACUUGCGCAUUAAGUGAUGUGAAUGUAUUGACAUGGUGCCACGAUCCGCCAACUUGUAUUGGUCUUUGGCUUUGUAAUGAAUUUAUUUAAUAAUCAUUUGGAUGCAUUCAUUUUGAUGAGUAAUUUUUCUAACGAGGGCAUCUGUUUUUUAAUUAAAAAAAAUGCCAAAACUUUGUAGCACCCUUGCUUAGGAUUGGAAUGUAUAUUAAUGCUUCAUAACGUGUACCUAUAUCAACCUGCAUAUCUCACAAGCCAUUAUUUAAAAAAACAAAAAAGAACAUGUUUAAGAGGAUGUCUCAAAACACAUUUUUAUUGGAGAUUAGUUUAGCAAUUUUAAUCAGUUUAGAGGACACGUAAAGAGAAAGCGUUGGAACGGGAAUGGGGAAGUCAACAUCGUUGAGUGGAUCGAAUCAUCAGAUUUAUGGGAACCACUUUGUACCAUGUGAUUCUCAUACGUAACCUCCCUAUGACAACUCUGCAGCAACCAGAUUGCACAUUAAUAUCCAGCUUUUCCUUUCCAGAUUAUUACUUAUAGUCCAUUUAGUCUCUUUAUUUUAUUUAUUUAAAAUUAAUUUCUUUACUUUGUUCAUUUUCAAUUAUAUCAUUAAUUUUUUCGUUAUUUUCAUUAAAAAAAAAGUAUAAUCAUAAAAUUAGCUCUCAAUUUUUUUAACUUUUAUGCAUUUAAAAAAAAAACCUAUAUUUCACAAAUUUUCAUGGGAUAAGAAACUAUGCUAAAUGAGAUAAGAGGAACUUUAAGAUUAUGCCAUAUUAUAAAUAAAAAAUUAAAUUAUAAAAUUUAUAUAAAAUCUAAAUAUAUAUAUAAAUUAAAAAAUAAAUAAAAAUAUUAGAAACAUAAAAAUAUAAAAUUAAUAAAAAAAAAAGUAUAUAUACCGAAUAAAGUAUAUCCACUUAGUUUAAAUUUCUUGUUAACAAAAAAAAUUCCUAUUUUUCUUAGAUCUACAAGUUUAAAUCCAUCAUCCUCUUCUUCAAGAUGAAACCCAAUCAUCUUCUAGAAAAAACAUAAAAAUAGUUCUCCAACAAAUAACCACUUUGGUUUCCAAAAUAAAUAAAUAAAUAAAGCUUUAAAAUUUUUGAAGUGUCUUGGAGUUUUGGUGGUUGGAAGUUUGUUUUUAUUGUUUGCGGUGGGUGUCACCCUGAAAACAUUUUUUGGCUUUUGAGAAUCCAUCAAACUCUUUAUUGCUUCCGGCUGUGUGGGGAGGGGGCAAAUUUUGAGUUUAUUUUUUCUCUUCAAUUCUAAGGACAAAUUCAUUAGUUGAUCGCAUGCUUUUUCUCUUUUUCUUUUCUCUUCCAUUUUGUAAUGGCGAAAGGUUUUCUUUUUUCUUUUUUUGGUUUUCUUUGGGGCGGGGGCUAGGAGAAUUUAAUAAAUAAAUUUGAUCAAUUUUUUUGAAUUUUGAAAAUGAUGCUUUAAACAAUUAGAAAAUAGUUAGAUUAAGAAAGAACAAGAAAAGAAAGGCUAACAACCAUGAGAUUGUUUUCCGACCAAAUCUAAUAGAAUUAAAUAAGAAAUGUGACUUAUCCGAUAAAAAAAAUUAGGGAUUUUAAAAAUAGGGGCUAAAUUAACAAAAAUGACAAAGAUUAAGAGCUAUGUGAUUAUACUUGAUUUUUUAAUGCAAAAAGAUUAACUAAUUGAAGUGUCAUUUGAAUGUCAAAAGACAAUGGAUGUCGACACUCAAAAUAUUGUAAGGAUGCAUUCGUUCAAGGAAUGCAAGAUUAUAUUUGAGAAUAAGAUUAUAGGAAUGUAGAAUUAGUUAUAGAAAGUAGGAUAUAUUACAUUUUCAUAUCAUACUUGGUUUAUUUGGCAAGAAUGUAGAAUUUUGAUGUUUGGUUAAUAGAAUCUAAAAUUAUUUAGAAGCAUAUAUUACUAAAUUGUACUUAUUAUAGAUCUAUUUUUAGAAGUUUAACUCCUUUAAUAUUUUUUAGCUUUAAUUUCCAUAAAAUUAUAAUAAAUUCUUAUUUUUAUUAGAAUUUAUAUAUUACUAAGUAACUAUAUGAUUGAAAUAAAUUUAUAAAUUCUAAUUCUAAUAAUUAUAAUUGCAUCAUAAUCAUAAUUAAUAUAUUAAUUAUAAUUAUAAAUUAUAAAAUCAACUGUUUCGCUGUUAAGCAAAAGAGAAUUUUUAUUUUUAAUUGGAAUUAAAUUUUAUUCGGAAAAAAAGACGAAACAGAUUAGAAUUAUAAAAAAUGAUGGGUUCAUUUGAAAUUUGGGAUGAUCUAAAGAAUACUUAUAUUUCGGCAUUUUAACACGAAUUGUGAAUGCGAGAAUGUUUUGAAUCCAAAUAGCGGAGGUAGGGCAUUGGCCCCCUUUACUAAAUGAGGGAAUUGUCUCUAAGCCCUCGCAUAAAUUAAAACAUUAAAUUUAAGGUUGUUUUUUAUCCAUUCGGAACAAUUGCAUUUUUGGUCCCUACGGGAAAUGAGAAAAUUAAUUUAAUAUUUUUGUAACACAUUUUUUAGUUUUGGUCCUCAAAAAUUUUAUAAUUUUAUCUUCAUCUCUUAUAACUUGACUUCAACCUUUAAUCCAAAUGAAAUAAUAAUAAGGAUAAACUAAACGCUGCUUAAAAGCAAUCAUUAACAAAUUUUAAAGCUAAAAUUUCAAGAUCCCUGAACUGGUAUUAAUUUUUAAUUUUAUUGUUGAUGAUAAACUGCAAGAAUACGUCUCUGCCAACAUCUUUAUUUUUCUUCUCUUUAGGAGUUAUAAGUUUUAACUCUGCGUAUAAAACACUGAAAAAAGAGAGCUUAGUUUUGUUGUGUUUUUUGGGGUAUGUUAUGUUACUGUUUGCUGAAGAAUGACUAAUGGGGGAGGCAUCUGAUUAAAAAGCAAAGAAUCGCAGCGACAAAUCAGGAAAAAUAGAGAUAAGAAAGCGCUGGAAAAAAAUAAAUCUCACAGCACCCCCUGUCGGUGCACAUUACUUGGAAACUCGGCCACAGCCAGCCACUGCUAAGUGCCAAUUUUUCUGAGUUUCACGCGUUGCUGUGGCACGUCUCCAGUCACGAAACUACCUGAUUCGUUCUGUAAUCUGUAAACGAAUAUCUCUUCUUUUUUUGUUGUUUUAAAAUAUAAUAUAUAUUUCUUGGUUUUUUUGGUUAAGAAGAUUAGCAUUCUCCGGUUAUGGCAACUUUUUCUAGUAUCUGGAUUGGAAGUUCACAGUUCCAGGUUAAAGAAAUGGCAGGGUUGGAUAUGGUGCUAAGCAGAUCAGUUAUAGUCUGUCAAUGCCAAGUGGAGUCCAUGGUGAAGUGGGAUAUGGAUUGAGCUGUAUUUUUAUAAACUAUAAAAUAUAUAAGAAACAAAAUUAGUCCUCAAAAUUUGACAUACAAAAUCCUGCUCUUGAAUGCACCUGAGGCACCAAAUCUUCAAAGGACAUGAGAGGCCAAGCCUAUGAUAUCUUUUUCUUUUAUGAUAUGAAAACUUAGUACCGUAUUUAUCAAUAACAAAAACAUACGAAUUAUAAAAUCAUUUUUAAAAGAUGAAAUAUUCGAAUGUGAAUUCAGAUUUAAAUCCCAGCACCAACUAUGCUUCUUUUUUCUUUUUUUUUUUUACUUUCAAACUGCCCCCUUUUUUAUAAGUAUAUGCAUAUUGGCAGUGUUACAUUUAAUUUUCUUUUUGUUUUGUUCCAAGUGAUUUAUAUUCCACAUAAUGAAAAUGAAAGAUUGAACAAGUCAGAGUCAAACCCAUGAUAAUAUACAAAUAAGAAACACACUUGGGAUUCAAAAGUGAGUGAUGGAGUGGAGUCUGCAGUUAUUAAAUGCUGAAAUAACUAUCCACUGCUUCCCCAGCUUUCAAUUUUCAACCAAAAACUCAGACACGAUCCUUCCGCUUUCUCAACACCUACCAGCAAUUGCACCUCCAAUCAAUCCAAAGAUUAAAAAAAAAAAACAGUAGGCCAAUUGGGGUCCCCUUCCAUUGUGAUGUGGAUUCUCCCAAUUGUGUGUUGUUCCUUUCACUAUCUCUCUCUUUCACACAUUGAGGUCACACCAGCAAGUACCACCCACAUUACCCCCCAAUUUAUUAACCCUUCUCUUCCUUCACCAUUCUCAUCAUAGCUACCCAACAGUUCCAAACCCAGUUCAGUUUUCUCUUUCCCUUUCCCUUUGCCUUUGCAGGGUCAGGGGUCAGAUUAAUUUCCUGUUCAGAUUUCAAUUCAUAUUUUUUGUUUCUUGGUUUCUGUUCAAAGCUAGUUUUGGGAGCCAAUACUGUGAUAUUACCGCGACUGACUUCAUGGUUACAUGAAAUGAAAUAAUCCCUUCAUGAUGAUUACCACUUCACUUUUUACUUCCCCCCUCCUUCACACCUCUACUUUACUUAUUAUUUCCCUUUGCUUUCUUCUUCUUUCUCCGGUCUCUUCCCUUCGCCACCUGCAGUCUUCAACCUCCCCUGAUCGGGUUAGCAUUCAACCCCCCCUUCUCUCUCUUUCUUUUCCAUAUAUUAAUAUUUCAAAUAAUGGUGAUAUUGGGUUUUUCUUAAUUAGGGACUCUCUUUUGUGGAGAAAAUCAGGCUGGGAUCAACUCCUCCGAGCUGCCAUAACAAAUGCAACGGAUGCCACCCUUGCAUGGCAGUCCAAGUGCCUGCAAUACCCACCCACAGCCGGUUUCAACCAGGUUUGAGCAAAGCCAUCAGUAAUUCCAUGCGGUUUUUUCACCCAUCAACUAACCAAUACUCCAAUUACAAGCCUCUUGGAUGGAAAUGCCGCUGCGAUGAUCACUUUUACAACCCUUGAACAUAUCAUAACCAUUUUAUAUUAAAGGUUUGGAAUUACUGUUCAUUGGUUCCAAGCUUCUGUAAACCCUAUUUCACCUCUUUUUCCCUGUUAGGAUCUAAAAUUAAAUUGUUUAACAUGGGGGGUUUGGUGGGUCGCUGGGAUUCUUUGCAGAUUUUCACCAUUAAAUGUAUAAUAUAAAAAUAGCCAUGUACAGAUAAGUUGCAACAAACCCGUGAGUUUUUAUCGUUAACAAUAUUAGAUAUCAUGUUUAUAUUUACAUUAGUAGAUUUAAAUUAAGAAAUAUUUAUAUUUUUUCUUAAAAAAAAGAAAGAAAGAAAUGCUUACAUUUUUAACAUCACCUGGUGAAAGUUUACAAGUGUGUUUAUCUAAUACUAAAAUUUAUUUUAGUACCUUUAAUAUUAAAAAGAUUAUUUCAAUCUCUAUAUGUUUAGAAAGUUUGGUAAUUUAAUUUAUUUUUAUUGCAAAUGAAAUGAUAUAAUUUAACAAUGGUUGAUUUGAUAUUAAGAGUCUGUUUGAUUGCCAGUAAAAUGUUUUUCGUAAAAUGAUUUCUGGAAAAUGUUUUACUUUUCUGUAAUGUGUUUGAUUGAAUCUGUGUAAAAUAUUUUCUGCUGUUUGACAGAUUUCCUGAAAAUAUUUUUCGAAAAAGUUGUUUUUACAUAUAUUAAUAUAUAUUAAUAAAUUUUUAUAUUUUAAAUUGUUUUUACAUAUAUUGCAAUGAUUUAUUUAUAAUAAUACUCAAUUAUUAAGCUACAAUAUUAAUCGUUAUAAAUUGAAAAAAACUAAUAUCAAAUAAAUUAUUUGUAAUUGUGUUAAAAAAAUAAGUAUUGAAUAAUUAUAAAUUGCUUCAAAACCACAAUGAGUACUAAAAACAAUAUUAUCCAAAUACAUAAUUAGUAGUACACCAUAUAGUAACAACAUUGUUCAAGUACAUAAUAUUACACCACAUAAAAGUAUCAAUAUCUUCAACCCUGAAAAAAUUUUUGAAGCCAAAUUUUUCUAUGGUUCUUACUUUUAACUAAAAAAGCUUUGGCCUCGGAUUCAUGACUCACUAGAUAAUCAAACACAGAACACAAGAAGUCAUCAUCAAAUCCUUCUUCCUCUAUCGACAUCACUUGUUUGUAAAGCUGUGAUGUCUUAUCGGCAGUAAAUUGUUCCAAAGCAUUAGCAAUUUUGCCAAGUUGUUCACCCACAAAUUUAAUUUGUUCAUCAACGACACUUUCUUGACCACUUUUUCUUUUACGUUUGGAUGUGCCAGAUGAAGAUACAUUUGUUCUUACCUCUUCAGCCUCUUCAUUGUCACAGUCUACAGGCAUUGAAUCUUCAUUACCAUCAUCCAAAUCUAUGUCAGCAAAUGUUAUGGCAAAACUCCCUGUUGCCAUAUCUUUGCCAACAACCAAAGCCAUUUCAUCAUAAUAAUCAAUGCUUUUAUUCAAAAAUGGUUCAUACUUCUUGUGUGCCUGUUAGAUAUUAUACACAAUUAGGAUAACAAGUAAAAAACAAUUAAAAUAUACUUAACAUAUAUAUACAUAUAUUACCAUCACUGCUGCAUCAUAUGUCGCUCUAUCACAUGUGAUCAUUUUCAUGUUAUCAUCCCAUCCAAAACCACUUUCACCUCGAAUUUUGCAUAUAAUCUGCCACUGGUUUUUUACUGUCCUCAAAUGAUUUUCCACAUGCUUCGCAUCGCAUUGGACUUGGAAUCUUUCAGAAAUGGCGUCGGUAACUCAAUUAAUAGAAACUGCUUUGAAAGUAUUAGAAGUCUUAUUUCCUUUUCGAGCCUCCUCUGCUAGAAUUUCAAGGAAAACAUGUUUCAUCGAUUUUGUCCACCUGAAUUGCUUGGAGGUCCCUUCUUUGUUGCCCUUACCCAUUCUACAUUAAAUAAUUGUCAUUGUCAAUAAUUUCAAUAUCCAACAAGCUUAAAACAUAAUAUUAAAUACAAUAUCCAACAAGGUUAAAACAUAAUCAAUAUCUAACAAAUUCAAGACAUAUAUCAAAAUCCAACAAUCUAAAAUUUCAAUAUCAUUAUCCAACCAACAUUUACAAAAAAAAAAAAUUAUACUAAAACAUACAUAACAUAGAGAUAAUAACCCUAAGCCCUAAAUAUACCUAAUAUUUCUAGUCAUAUAAUCAGUCCACAUAGUUUGUGCAAUUUCAUCUCUCUUAGCAGACCAUUCUCUUGCUUCUUGUCUUUCUUCUCGCUCCGUGAGAGUUUGUAUUAUCGAAUCAGACUCAGACACCUCGUAUAAUCCUUGAUUAAGUAAAUCACUAGGAUCAACUCCCAUUAUAUGAUUAUGAAUGAUACAACAAGCCAAAACUAUAUCUACUUGAGUUUGAAAAUUCCAAAAUGGUUCAGCAUCUAAUGCACGAAACCGUUUCUUCAAAAUCCCAAAAACAUGUUCAACAGUGAUCCGUAAUGAUGAAUGGCGAAGAUUAAAGAGUUCCUUUGCAUUUUUAGGCCCUUCAGCACCAAACUCUUUUAAAUGAUAUCGGACACCACGAUAUGGGGUAAUACAUCCAAUUCAGAUGCCAUAUCCAGCAUCAGCAAGAUAAUAUUUACCUACAAUUUUACAAUACAUAAUUAAUACUAAUAAACUAUGAGCUUACUAGAACUAUUUGAGAUAAAUAUUACCUUCCGAAAUUCUUAAUCCUGUUGGGCGCGAAAGUGCAUCACUUAAAAUACGAGAAUCAUGUGCACUACCUUCCCAACCAGCUAGAACAUAGGAAAAUUUCAAAUCAAAUGUAAUGGCAGCCAAUACAUUUUGUGUUGUCCCCCCUUUACGGCUACGAAAUCUUCCUUGCAUGCUAGGUGGAACAGAUGCACGAAUAUGAGUUCCAUCUAAUGCUCCAAUACAAUCUUUAAAAUAAGGAUAAAACCUUGGAUUGUUUCUAAUUUCACUAGGAGUUGACUCAUCACGUAAUCUAAUAACUAGUCUAUACAAUUUCAAAAUAGCUCUCAAUACAACCCUAAAGUAAUGGUGAACUGUCUAAGUUGAUCUAUAAUAUCUAGAUCCAACCACUCGAAACCUUACAUUAUGACCAAUUAUAUGUAAAAAUAUAACUACUUACUCCCUAAUAUUGACAGAUUUAGACGAUUGUAACAAAUUAUUCGUACUAAGAAUAUCACAUAAAUUAAAAAAGGUGAUCGGUCUCAUCCUUAUCACAUCAAUGCAAUGCUGGUCACCACUAUAUAAAAUACUAUUAAUAUAGUUUUCUCUUUCAUAAUCUCGAUUCACACGAGGGCGAGAAGCAAUUUCCUUCCUAGUUUCUAAUUUUUUAAUCCAAAGAGCCCCAAAAGCUAAAACUGAAGCCACGACUCCGACAAUUGCCAUUUGAUGUUGAUUACGAUCCAUCUACACAAAAUAAUGCCACACAGAUAUAUGAUCACUACUACAAAAGAUGCAAGAUUUUCAUAAGAUCACAUAAAGUUACCAUGACUAAAAGUGCAUACAUACAUAUCAAGCUAAUUAUAAUUGCAUAAUAAUUUUUUGAAAGUAGCACUUAAAAUAUAUUGAUCAUAGUUAAUACAAUACUUCAAUUGGUGCAAGAUUUUGUUAUAUAUUAUUAGGUUAUCUUUCAUGUAUAAUUAAUUAAUUAAUCACGAAUUUGAAUGGGAAAUUUGAAUGGAAUUCAUUUAAAAAUCAAUAUAUUAUUAGGUGCAAUACUUUAAUAUUUAACAUAUUAUUUAUAAAAAAUAUACAUUAACAGAAAUUUGAUUAUUUAAGUAUUGUUUUUUAUUGCAAAAACAUUAUUAAAAAUGGUGAUGCCUCUUUUUUAAAAUAUAAAAAAAUUUAAAAUUAUAAAUUGCUAUCAAGUGUGUUUUCUUUUUUUAUUUCGAAAUUUAAACAAAAAAAAUUUGACAAUGUUAUAAAUUUUUUUAUUUCUAUUUUUUAUAAUUUUUUAAAUUAAAAAUUGAUUACUUUUUAUAAAAAAAUAAAUAAUGUUUAAGUGCACUGCUAUAAUUGCUAUAAUCUCAAAUGUCCAUCAUGAUUUUGUUUGCUCCAUUUUCAGCAUGAGAAGACUGACUGGACAAAGCUAGUAGUAAAUACUACCACAUGUGUGUAUAUAUAUAUUUCGGACAUAACUAACAAAAAUAUCAGUCCCUAAGAUGCCUAUAGAUGAGUUAUUACUAGCUUCCUGAUUUCUUAAAUCAAAAUCUACUUGAAAAGUUAAAAACAAAUUUGAUUUUGGUUUAUCUGUCAUUUGCAAAAGUUUUGAGACUUUCCCAUUUCUAACUUCAUCUUUUCUUUAAUUUUGAGUCUUUGAACUGUGAAAAAAAUGGUGGGGUGCAUGAAGUCAUAAUUUAGAGAUAAAUUGGCACGUGACAGUCGCCAUAACUAAAUUCUUUCCCUCCUGUUCAUACUGUAUAUUCACUACAAUCUCUUUAAUGGAAAUUUAAGGCAUGUUUGAAUUCAGAUAGCAAAUGAAUAUGUAUCACACCUAAACUUCCAAAUCGAUAUCAAUGUGUAAUAUUUAAACAACAUUUCCUUAUAUUUUAAAGAAAAAAACAUAAUUCCUUGCCAUAAACUCUAUAUUACUACAUAUAUUUAAAUAUAUAACAUGGAAACUUGGGAAAAGGUCAUUGUUCCCAUAAACUUAUAUUGUUCCCCAUUGGUUAUUGGCUGUCUUGUUCGUUAAUACCAGCUUCUGUGCUUGCAUUGCACCAAAGAUUAUUACCACUGACAACAUAAUAAUAACAACCUAAACCCAGACCUUUUUAAUGCCAAUUCCAUAUGCUAUAAAUCAUGCCAAAAUUACCAAAAUUCAUGACAUAUGCACAUAUGUAUUUACCUACCAUCAACCAAAUAUAACAGCUCAUCACUGCCAUUUCCCAAAUAAUAUGUAAACAAAUUACAGUAAAAAUGUAAAUCAAUAAUAAACCAUACCCAAACACAUCCAACAACCAUGCUUAAUUCACUUGAACCGAAUUAUAACAACCACAAAUGCAUAUUAUACCAAAUCAUAAAUCAAGCACACCACAAACAUAUAACAACCACAAAUGCCAUGCCAUUGGCAGACCAGAAUCAAGAAAGAAGACAUUCCAAAGAUAAAACCUUGGACCAACCUCUUAUGAAAAUAUCAACCAAGGCCACCAACAGGAGUAAGAAUGCUGAGGUAGAGGCUAGGACAGCAAUACCUAUACAGCUGGAGGUCAAGCAUAGAAAGAAAUUAGAACAGCUAGAAGCAAUAAAAAAUCAAACACAAAUCAUUAAUGGUUUAAUUUAAUGGAUUGAAAUUACAAUAUAUUAAUACUUGUAUUAUAUGGUGUGAAUCAUGCUUCAAACAGAAGAAAAUUGCAAUCUAUGAUUGAAUGCUAAUUGUUUGCAGACAAGUAGGGUCGCAUAAGGAAUCUCAGAAGUUAUUGCAGGAUCAGACAUGAUAUCCAAAAAAAUCCAAACUAACUUUUGCAGUAGAGGAAAAAAAAUUUCUAAAAGAAAUAAAAAAGUUUUGUGAACUCAUUUGGGGGAUGAAAUGGGACAGUAGAGACUGGCCACCGUAGUUGACUUUCUUACUAAUUCUAUCAAUUACUAAUUCUAAACAAGAAUGUUAUGGAUGCUUAAUUUUUGUAGUAAGAGAAAAAAAAAACAAAUACCAAUUAAUUUGCAACGUUACUAUAGUAAAGCAUACAUGGAUGCAGAGAACCAAAGUGCAAUUAAUUUGUAAGUUAAAAACAAGUUACUAUAGCUUAUGACAGGAAAUGCUUGUAGUUUUGUGCAAAUUGCAGUUGUCACAUUUAUGAUAAUGUGCUUGGUAGCAGGGAGGGUCCAGUGCAAUGAGGACUCUCUCCCAUACCACUAACCCACCUUAAUAACACUCCUAGAAUUUGGCAUUAUCCUAUUCAGGUUCUUGGGUCACUUUCAGCCACAACAGGGUAAACCAACACUAUGGGAGUUGGAUUCAGACCAACACUACAGUGUUGGAAGGCAUGGCCCUAAUCUUCUUAACGAGGAUGCAGGGUAUAUCGAGUGUCCAAAUUGCUAAUAUAUUUUAUACCAAAUUUCUAGUUCCAUUGGUUUUUCUGAGACUACAACGUAUUGUCAAAUUUCAAGAUAUGAUAUGCAUAUGCUAAGCACUAUUUAUGUUUGAUUGUGAACAAACAAUUUUUUUGGAUUUUAACCAAUCUACAGACCUGUUUUGCCAUACAACAAUGCAAAUAAAUAUACAGUUUGCAGGUAGGUUCAACAAGCUUGACAAUAGCAAGAUAUGAAAUCAACACCUUGCAUUACCCAAUUUUCGCGCAUAAAAACCUAAAACCCUUUUACAAUCUAAUCAGUGUCAACAAUUACUGAACAAUGCACUAACAUUCUCUUAUGAAAUGAAACCAGACACAAGUUCGAACGAAUUUUAGAGGUUGAAAUUUCCCAGAAAUGAAGGAUAUCAACUAUUUGACUACGAGUCUUUGUGCUGUGUAUCAUACCAGGAUAAAAGAAAAUCAAAUUGCAACCUCAACAUCAAACAAAUGGAGUGAAAGUGAAAAAAAAAAUUAUAGAAAUAUCGGGACAGAAAAUACAAACCCAGCAAGUCUUUUUCGACAAAUUGAAAAUAAAACCAUAAAAAAUCAAAUAAUGUCUAUAAUAAAAUGUUACCUGAAAUUUCCCACAGAUCUGACGGAAAUUGGAGUGGAGAUAGCAAAAAUAAAUGGUGGUCGGAAACUGAGCACGUUUGGAUCGGUAAUCUGGAUGGAUACGGAGAAGAGGGAACCGAGGAAAUGAAAGAAAACUGCGAUAAUUGAAGAGGGAACCGAGGUAAUGAAGGAAUGAAGGACUUCUUGGGGGGUUAGUGGAAAAUCGAUAAACAGAAGCAGUGUUUUUUACCGGAAAUGAAGGAAGGAAUGAAUGAGGCGAUAGAGAGGAGAGCACGGAAAAUGUCUUACAGAAAUUGAAAGGGUAAGACAUUUUCCCUAAAAUGUAACCCAAUUUCCCGUGCUUUGGAGUUCAUUUUCCAAAUGGAAAAUGUUUUCCGCCAAUCAAACGCUGGAAAAGGCAGAAAUGAUUUUCCAGAAAAUCAAUUCCGCCAAUCAAACAGACCCUAAAUCAAACAUUAAAUAAAAUAAAAAAAGUUAAAUAAUAAUUUUAAAGAAUAAGAAUUAAGAAAUUAAAUUUUCUUUUACCCUAAAUUAUCUCUGAUUCUAUUUUUUUUUUGCACUUAUAUCUUUGUAAUUUGGUUAAGGUUAAUCGCCUUUAAUGCCGUGUCUAAUUAAGUUACUCCAUUCCACUAACGAUUAAGUUAAUAUAUGGAAAUAUUUUCAAAUAUAGAAGAAUUAAAAAGAAAUCAAAAUUUGAAAGCAUUAUAUUAAAGAAAUAUUUAUAAAAGCAGGGCAGCUCAUGUAAAAUGGAUAAGUCUGUAAUCGUACAGAUGGUUACGCCGCUAAACUAAAGCAGAGAUUCUACAACUUCGUUAUCUCAGUUGUGUUGUUCCUUUGGCUUAGCUUAUUAUAUUUAUAUGUAUAUAUAUUUUGAGAUAGUAAAAUAUCAGAACUUAUUUAAUAAUUAUUUUAAAAUAAUUGUAUGAAUUAAUUGAAUUUUAAAAAAAAAUUGGUUGAAAACGAUACCAGUUGAAUUUUAUGAGAGAAACUGAAAAGUACAAAAAAAAAAUCAUGCCCUUAAAAUUGCUAGACUAACAAAAUAGAAAAAAAAACUAAGAUUUCGUUUGGUAGAAUAAAAAUAAAAUUGUAAAGAUAAAAAAUUGAAUGGAUAGAAAAAGUAGAAAUAUAAAAAUAUAUAAUAUUUCUUUUAAUAAGUGUAUUUGGUAGGAAGAUGAAAAAAAUGAGAGAAUGUAUUUUCUUUUCAUCCAUUACUUGAUAAAGUUGAAAAAUAAAGGUAAAGAAAAUAAAACAUUUGAAAAAUACAUAAUUUCAAAUUAAUAUAUGUAUCUCAUUCAUUUUCUCUCUUUUAAUCAUUUCAAUUUGAAAAAGUUGAUUUUUAAGCACCAGGAUGAAAAAUAAUCAUCUCUUCUAUUUUAUUUCAUCUCACUUUUUUUUUCCCUACCAAACAUAUUCAAAAUUUAUUUUCUUUUCACUUUUCCAUUCUCUCCUCCCAUCAUUUCACUUUUUCAGCUAACCAAACACAAUUUAAAAAAACUUUCUAGUUCUCUCCUCUAAUAACGCAAAGAAAUCCUGCUAGUCUUCAUCACAAUUCACCAAAACUCCAUAAGUAGUUGUAGAUUGAAAAUUUAAUGGUGAAAAAAAUAACAUGCAAUUCGUUCCCGCCAUGGAAUCAUUGUAUGUCCGAGCAAUCCAGAGUCAUUUCUAAGAGUACGUUUGGUUCACUUUAAUGGAAUAGAGCUGUAAUUGAAUAGAGCUCUAAUGGAAUAAAGCUGUAAUCAGUAAUUCAAUUAUUUGGUUGAAUGGAAUGGAAUAGAACUAUAAUAGUAUUCUUCUAUUUGGUUGAAUGGAAUGAUGUUGUAAUAGCAUAAGGAAAAAAAACUAAAAUGACUAGAAUAUCCUUAGCAGAAUUUUUUUAGGUAGAUGAUUAUUGUUAUUGUUAUUAAAUUUUAAUAAGAUUAUUAUUAAAAAUAAUUUAAGAAAAAUAAUAAAUAAUUUAACCAUAUUUUAACAUAAUUAUUAUUAGGGUAAACUACACCUAUGGUCACUUUUGUUUACCUUAGGUUACAUUUUAGUCAUUCAUGUUUGAAAUGUUACGUCUUAGUCACUUACAUUAUCAUGUUGUAACAUUUUAGUCACUGAGUCGUUAAUUUCCGUUAAAUGGUGUAACAGUAAGCUGACUUGGCACGUUAAAUAAUCAUUUCAAACCAAAAAUUUAAGUUAAAUUAUACAAUUGAUCCCCAUAUUUUUUUCGUUUUGAGCAAUUUAUUUUUUUUAUGUUCUUUAAACUUUUCUCUCUUUUAUUUAUUUAUUUUCCAUUCUCUUCUGUUUCUCCCUCUAUUUUCCUACCUUCUCCAUUUCUUUUAACAUAUCAGGAAGUCGAAUUGGCUGUGAAAAAUGAAGCAAAAAGUCAAAAGUCAUCAUUGCCUAUAACCAAAACCCAUAAACCCAUACCAUGCUUCUUUUUUCACUGCCAAUUCGACUUCCUGAUAUGUUAAAAGAAAUGGAGAAGGUAGGAAACUAGAGGGAGAAGCAUAAGAGAAUUAAAAAGAAAAAUGAAAAGUUAAAAUAACAUAAAAGAAAAAAAAUUAAAUUGUUCAAAGUAAAAAAAUAUGGGGACCAAUUGUAAAAUUUUUGUUUGAAAUGAUGAUUUAACGUGCCACGUCAGCUUACUGUUAUACCGUUAACGACAAUUAACGACUCCGUGACUAAAAUGUUACAACGCGAUAACGUAAGUGACUAAAACAUAACAUUUCAAACAUAAGUGACUAAAAUGUAACCCGAGGUAAACAAAAGUGACCAUGGGUGUUGUUUACCCUUAUUAUUAAAUAUAAUUUAAUAAAAAUAAUAUAUAAUUUAAUAAAAUUCUUAAUAUAAUUAUUAUAUGAAUUAAAAAAUAAUAAUAUAUAAUACUAUAAAAAUAAUAUAUAAUCUACUUUAUUAUUUUUAAACUGCAAUACAUAUUUAAUAUGCUAAAAUAUCAUUAGUGAAACAAAUAAUUUAAUUAUUCUACAAUAAAAAAAAUAUUAGAAGUAAUAAAUAACUUGAGAAUUAUAUUUCACAUCCAAACAUAAUAUUCAUAUAUUAACAAAAAGUUACAUGAUUUCAUUAGUUUAUAUGUCAUAAUCCAUAUGUUAUAAAAUUUUACAAUAUCAAAAAGUUACAACAUUGUAAUGACAUUCUAUCAUGUCAUUAUACAAUCCAAAUAUUACAAACACAAAAAGUUAUCAAAAUAUCAUCAACACAACCAUGAUUUUUAAUGGUCAGUAAGAAAUUUUCUGACCCAUUCCAAUCGCACAGAAGGAGGUAAACUAAAGAAAAUGAGCAUUUGCGUUAGAUGAUUUGGAAUUUUGCUUAAUGUUCGAUAGCGCUCAUCCUAAGUUAAACCUUCUACUUCACAUAAUGUUGGAUAUAAUGUUAGAGCUCUUUCUUGAAUGGUCAUUUCUGACUUUUGUUGAAUUAGCACUUCGGAGGCAAUACUCCUACUGAUUUCAACGCCAACGGUCUGUAUGUUUUCUGCCAAUAAAGUGGCAGCAUCAUGAAAUGAAGUAGAAGAAAUAUGAUCACUUGCAUUAGAAUUUUUUUUUCUUCUUUGAAAAUGUGGAAUCACCUUGGUUUCUAGCUGGUUGCGAUUAUGUAGCUGAAAGAUCCAUGUCAUCCAAAGAAACAUUAGCUUCGCAUCCAUAGAAAUCGUUUCUUUCUUCAUGAGUAUUUGUAGUAGCUACAUCCUCAACAUCUAUUUCUUCAAUAAUAUCAGCGGCUGUUUGAGCAUUUUUCCUAGUGGCUCGAUCUUUUGCGUAGUUGGCAGUAAGUUGGUCAUAAUAAGGGAAACUACGAUGUUUGAAUUGACCGGCUUCUUUAUGACUUUAUAAAAAUGAAGAAUUCAUAUUAGAUAUAAGUUUGGUCAAAAUAAGAUAAUAAAUACUUGAAAUAAUUCUUACAUUUAUAUAUGAGUUCCACACCGCAUCUUCAGCAACAACAAGCUGCCUAUACUCAUCCUAACCAAAACUGCUAUUAUUUUUUCCACUAAGCAUGUCAUAAAUGAUUGACCAAUCCCUUUUCAAUGUUCUAAUCCUUGAUUCAAGAUUAAGUUUAGCCUUCAACAUGGCAUUGGGUAAAACUUUUUCUAACAUUUUUUCUAUUUCAUUUAAAUAAUAGGCUUUGAAUCCCGUAUCAACAUUGAAGGUUCCAACAUUGUGCAAGUCGACCAUACAGGCAACCAACGCAGCAUCUUCUUCUGGAACCUAUUUCCUUUUGGUUCCUUGAGAAUUUUGGGAAGAAACACUUGAUUGUGAAAAACUUGACAUAACUAUCUUAAGAAAAAAAUUAAAAUUAAGUUCAAUAUUAUGAAUCAACAGGUCAACAUUUUAUAAAAUUAUAACACAUGAUAAAUCAAAAGAAAAUAAAUUAUAAUUCAACAAGUCUAGUACAAUACAAAAAAAAAUUCAAACACCACCAAAGUUUUAUAAACUAGAUACAUGAAAUAACAUAAACAAAUUAAUGUUUACUAUUUUUACCCUAAACCUAACUAAUUUCUAGAUGCUUGCCAUUCAUUAAAUAUUUGGUUGGCUAGUUCUAUCCUACAAGUAGCCCAUGCAUCUGAUCGAUGAAUAUUUAUGAUAUUCGGUUCAUCGUCAUCUAUCACAUUACUAGGUAAUCCUUCUCCCAACUCCGCUUCAAUAGGAUCAAGACUCAUAUAGGUUCGAAUAAAAUUAUGGAGCAAACAACAUGCAAUAAUGAUUCUAUUGUGCACCUUCACAGGAUAGAAUGAUGAACUCCUAAGUAUUCCCCAACUAAGUUUUAAUAACACAAAGCAUCUUUCAAUAACAUUACGUGCUAAAGCAUGUUUCAUAGUGAAAAAUUCUUCUAAAGUACUUGGCUGGUAACCCUGACGCCACUCAUUCAAAUGAUAUCUUUGUCCUCUAAAAGGUGCAAGAAAUCCCUCACAGUUUGUGUAUCUAGCAUCAACUAGAUAAUAACAACCUAUAAAAAAACUAUUUGUCAUGGUUAAUUUCCCAAAAAAUAUAAUCUUAAAUAUUAAUUCAAAGUCCUCUAAUUUUGCACUUUACCAUGAGGAACUUUUAGUCCAUGUCUCCUACUAAUGGCAUCUUGAAGAACCUGUCCAUCAGCAACAAAACCUUCCCAACCAAGAAGAACAUAAACAAAAUGCAUAUCAGGUGUACAAACACCUGACAUAUUUGUUGCUAUGUCACCUUUUCACGUUCGAUAUCUAGGUUUAUCAACUGUUGAACCCUAAUCUUGAUGUGGGUUCCAUCUAAAACACCUAAGCAAUUCUACAUCACAUGUAUAAAACCUUAAGUUAGGAUACUAUAUUAUGUACAAGCUAUAUAUAGAACUCACUCCAAUACCUUGAACUAUUUCCACCUUGGGUCUGUAGAAUUAGUUGUAAUUGGCUCUGCCUUUUUAAAUAACACAUCUUGUAAGCGUAUGAUAGCAUUUAAAAUAUUGUGAAAUGAUCUGCUAAAGGUUUCCCCAGACCUAUUAAAGUGAUGCUUGAUAACUCGAUUUUUAAGGUGAUGAGAAAUGAUAUGUAAAAACAUUGCCACUUGCUCAUCAACAAGGAUGUUCCUUGACGACUUCAAUUCCCCUAAAGUUUGUAACAUCUCACAUAGUUUAAGAAAGGUAAUUCUAUUCAUCCUAACUUGUUCAAUACAGGUCUCGUCACUAGCAUAUACAAGUCUUUUCACAUAAUCUCGUUUUGCAUAAAAAUCUAAAAUAUAGGAUUUAAUCCUUGGUCUAUAAGUUUGUAGGCUAUGGAUGGCACCCAAUGUAACUAAGAACCAACUCGCAACUGUACACAUUUGCAACCAUAUUGUCAAUGCAAGACCAAUUCUUUUACGCCUCAGACUUUGUACUAUUAAAGGCAGACGAGCCAUUACUGCAAGAUAUUAAAGUGUUACAUAUUUUUAAAUCUUAGUAAAAGGGUCACAUUUCUCCAAUACUAAUUUCAAUAAUAGUAAAAUAAAAUCAAAGAAUUUAAUUGCCAAAGAACUUACAGUGAUCCAGUGAAUACAAGACGCUCAAUUGUGGGUGGAGGAAACAAUAACACACUAUCAAAGAAAAAUGAACAAUACAUAUUAAGAAUCUUUACAAAACACAAAAUAGAAAUUACAACUAUCUUUGCAAGUAAAAAACUUGAAAUUCAUUUCUUUAUCAAUCACCCAAAAAAGAAAAAAAAAGAAAAGAAAAGAAUGUGUUUUUGUGGAUUUGAUUAAUUGAUGACUGACGUUUAAUAAUUAUUUUUUAAAAAAUACCCAUUUAAUACAUCCACAUCAAAUAACAUAGUUUCCAGUUCUACAGAAAUAUACAUAUAUUAUAUGAAAAUUUUUAAAAUAUUCGAUCUUUAAUUUACCUUUUAAAAAGUUUGUAUUCAUCCUUACAUUGUAAUUAACUAAUGUUUUAUUUGAAUUAAUAAUUGUGAAUAGAAAAAUAUAUAUUAUUUUGUUUGAAUAGUUAAAAUUAUUAAAAGGAAAAAAAAUAAUAUGAAUUUAAUAAUUUUUAUGAGAAAAGAAAAUAAGGUCUUAAUUUCUUUUAUUUUGUAUUAACUCAAUUCGAUUAUAGGUAUAUAGUGUGUUAAAUAUAUUAAAAAUUAUGUAUUUUAAAAUAUUCGAUUAUUAUUUUUAUUUAAAUAAAAUCUAAAACUCCAUAUACAUUACAUUCUUACCAUAACAUGAUUUGUUUGUAGCAUUUUACUUUCUUUUUUUGUUUCGUUUGUUGAGAUAAUUUUUGUAGUGUUAAUUAUAAUUUUUAAUCAAACAAUAUAAGUAAUAUAAAACAUUGUUUAAUUAUAAUUUUUAAUCAAACAAUAUAAGUAAUAUAAAACAUUGUUUGAAGACCAAAAUUAAAUAUAACAUAAAUUAAAGAUAUCGAAAAUAAAAAUAGUUUAAUAAUAUAUUAAAAGAUUAAAAUAGUUUUAAAUGAAACAUAUCAAAAAUAAAAACAUAUCAAAAAUUAAAUAUAACCAAAAUGUUCUUGUUUAAAGUAAAAAGAUCAAAUCCGAAUUGUAAAUGUAGUUUAACACGUAUAUAUUGUCUUUCCCGUAUUACUAGAAAAGUGUAAUGGUAUUAUCAUUCCAGUAGAGAUAUUUGUUUAUGUCCCUUUUCCUUGUUCAUUUUUUUGUUGUUGUUGACUCUUGGCAUUUGGCAUCCUACGAGGGUGUGUUGUUCUUUACCUUGGCAGCCUCCUUUUCUAUUAACAAAUUUCAUCUUUCUAAAGUUGAACACAUAACCAACUUACAACAAAGACAUUGGGAGGAUAUUGUUACCUUAGCACAUCCUUGAGUGAUAUUUUUCCCCUUCUUGUUGCUACCUUCAACCUACAAUGAUGACCAAUAAAUUAAUUUCCUUUAGGAGUUACAAAGGAUGAUAAAAUAGGUUCACAGAUCCCUUACUUUGAUGAUGAAUAACUCGAUGUGCAUGAACAAAUGACUCAGCAUUCUACCAUUUAAAAUAUGAUUUGUUCAAGGAGUGGAUAGAUUUACUUUAAAACUAGUUUCUAUUGUUGAAAGAUGCAUAGAACACAGGCAUAAAUCACUUUGAAGUUCUUAAUUAUAAAUACAUGCAAUGAAUCUCAUCAUAGCAUAGGCUGCAAGGCAAUUUUGCCAAGUAUAUUCAAGGAUAACAUGAAUUACAUGUGAUACAUGAAACUUACCAAUCCAAGCCUUCAAAAAGACCUUCCCCUUUUAUUGCUAAAGUUUUAAAAAUAGCCUAUUGUCAGUUUUUUAUCUUGUGUAACUCCAAAGACUCUGUAACUGCAGCGUCAUCAAGUGCACCUGGAAGAUCCUGUAUACACCAAGAAUGUGCACAUGAUCCGCUCUUGUGCAAUGCUAAUUGGCUAAAAUAAGAUGAAGAAAAAAGGUUCACGAUACUUGAACAAGAAAAAGGAAAUGUUCUAACCUACUUGUUUGCAAAAAUAAGAACUGUUGCUCCUCUUCCUGUAAAAUAUUCACACUUGAAACUUGUCCAGAAAAAGCAUUAAUGAAAUACAUAAAACAAGCAUUGACAAAUGAAGUAGGAUAUUGUAAACACCAAGUAAGCGCUAUUGGUUAUAGACAUAUAAACAAGUCAUCAUCACAUUCUAGGGAGCAGAAAGAAGGUUUUCAUGUAGCAUUCUUUCUUUUUAUCAAACUUAUAAAAUACAAAUGUUACUACAGUGGACCAUGAGAUCGAUGUUACCACCUGCAAACUAAUCUAUAUAUCAUCUUCAAUGUAUGGAAUAUUUAAAAGAUAUACCAUAGCAAGGUUUUAGGAAGUUUUUAAGAAAGAGGAAAACUAGUAAAAUACAUGUUGAUGGAUUUACCUCCAAGAUUGCAUAAAAUUCUUCUUUAGCUAUCACCAGCCUAUUUGUGUCACUUGAAUCAACAGCAUAGAUUAUAGCCUGAGUAUUUGGAAAGUAGCUUAUCCAAUAUGGCCUGUAGAGUAAAAUGAAAUAAGAAACUAGGCUGGUCUAUACUAGAAGCACCGUUUUAUUGAAUAUGGGAACAAAAUAUGAACCAUAUACUAAAAUUGAAUAGGAUGAUUAAUCUUUUCAUCUGUCAUGAACACACGAAAGCACCGUUUUAGUGAAAUUAAUUUAUUUUUCCUCUUUUUGUUGCUACCUCAGACAUUGGGUCGUUUGCUGCUCUAACAAGCCAACACCGCUUUUUCCCUUCAGCUUCUUAAGCCAAGGAUUAGCUUACUCCUGUAACAUCUUACGGUUCAACCUCCUUACAGAGUGUUUCAAUUUCAAACUAGGUCUAAAAUUUCACCUCUGUCCCACACGCCGAGCCAGCAAAGGCCCACUCAUCCCCUUUCCAAGUCGACUGAUUGUUCGAUUCUCUCUCGUCCUAAGCCACCUUAAUGCCCCCACUCGACACGCAACUUGGGUAAGAAAAAAAAGACAGACAGGAAAAUGAAAGGAACAACAGAAGGAAAAAUGUUCAGCUAACAUUGGAUGAAGGGGAGGAAUGCUGGAGUUGAAGGAAGUAAGAAAUGGAUGCCGUUUGAGUGUUUUUGAUGUGAGAAUUUGUGAGGGUAAAAUAGGGUUCAUAUGGCAACGAAUGGGUAAACUGUGAA